rnacentral:rRNA from 1 species
AUUGAACGCUGGCGGCAGGCCUAACACAUGCAAGUCGAACGAGUGGCGGACGGGUGAGUAAUGUCUGGGCAACUGCCCGAUGGAGGGGGAUAACUACUGGAAACGGUAGAUAAUACCGCAUACCAUCGGAUGUGCCCAGAUGGGAUUAGCUAGUAGGUGGGGUAACGGCUCACCUAGGCGACGAUCCCUAGCUGGUCUGAGAGGAUGACCGGCCACACUGGAACUGAGACACGGUCCAGACUCCUACGGGAGGCAGCAGUGGGGAAUAUUGCACAAUGGGCGAAAGCCUGAUGGAGCCAUGCCGCGUGAGUGAAGAAGGUCUUCGGGUUGUAAAGUACUGUCAUCGAGGAGGCGUUACUCGAAGAAGAAGCACCGGCUAACUCCGUGCCAGCAGCCGCGGUAAUUC